rnacentral:rRNA from 1 species
GCAUCGGCCAGACAACCUUGAAUGUUUUUUACUGGUUGACCUCGGAUCAGGUAGGAAUACCCGCUGAACUUAAGCAUAUCAAUAAGCGGAGGAAAAGAAACCAACAGGGAUUGCCUCAGUAACGGCGAGUGAGCG